rnacentral:misc_RNA from 1 species
ACUUUACUAUUAAUAAAAGUUUAAAGAAGCAAAGUGGUUUAUGUGCAAAAGUUUAUGUGCUAGAGACACCCUAAGAAAAGACACUGAACUGGCAAAAAGUGGAAACGCAGCGGUCAUCUGUUUUGAUCUAAUGAAGACUCUUCCUACACCUGUACUUACCACACUCAUUUUUUACUAUAAAACGCAGUUAUGGACUUACUGCUUUAAUAUACAUGAAAUGGGAAGCAAUAGUUCGUUCAUGUUUGUAUGGGAUGAAAGUAUUGCUUCAAAGGGGGCGCAAGAGGUGGAAUCUUGUAUUUUAUAUUACAUAAAAUCUUUGUUACAUCGAAGAGACUUAUAAUGUAUUCUGACCAAUGUGGUGGUCUGAAUCUUAAUAUAAAAAUGUCAUUGAUAUCUAACUAUAUUACUGCAUCUCCAUUAUUUACUAUGGAAGAAAUAGAUCAUAAAUUCAAGUGGUCAUUCCUAUUUACCAUGCGACCAAGAUUUCGGAAUCAUAGAAAAAAAAAGAAAUUCCAUCCACAUAUAUUUAUACCUCAAGACUGGCAUACAAUCAUAAGACAUGCUAAAAAAAAUCUUUUUCCCAUAAUAGAAAUGGAUACUCGAAUAAUGAAGAGGUUUGUUUUAACACAGUAGGUCUUAAUAAAAGGAAAUCUGUUUCCAAGGAAAUUAAGGAUCUGCCCCUUUUAUACCCAAAUGGUAAUGUCAUUAAUGAAGCUAAAAUAAAGAUCUCCUUGAGUUAAUGGAAUUCAUCUCUUCUAUAUACCAAGAUUUUUAUAAAAAUCUGAGGUCAUCCGCUCAAGCAACUGGAGGUAAAGUAGUUGGCCCAAUUGAGGAAGAAGAAACUCUAGAAACUGAAGAAGAAACCUACAAAUUAUGUAUUUAAUAACUACCUACCUAAUAAAAAAAAUAUUUUUUUUAUUUAUUCUCGUGACAAUACGAGUAAUACCGUUUUUGACGUAAUACUUAUAAUAGCUUAAGUUAUAGUAACACUUUAAAAAACCCAAUCUAUUUUAAAUGCAGAAUGGAAUAACCCACAUAAAAAAAACGAAUAUUAGCCAUAUCCAAAAAUUUAAAAUAAAUUCCGCAAAUAUAAGUAACACUCAAGAACAUUCAAUUAAUUGGAUCUACAGAAAUGUCCUUUUAAAAGGGUUUUGCGCACUUACAUUUUCAUUUUUUUUUAAACCUAUUUUUUAGCACUUAAUAAUAUUGGGGCUAGUCCGUUUUUGCACUCAUAGCCUCAUAUGAUGAGCUAGGCUUCGAUAAUUCUUCUGAUUGUACGGUCAAAUUUAGAAUUUGUGUAUUAGGUUCGAUAAAGCUAUUAUCCUGCAUUUCCGAAUAAUCACAAAUUUUGGCAUCAAGAGUACCGAUACCAGAUUUAUGCAUAACCUUUCCCUUUAAACUCAACUGUCUCAUUUGUUCAUUUCUUGAAGACAUCUGUAAUAUAUAAAGUAAAUUAAAAAUUAAGAAAACGGAUAUUUUGUUUGAUUUAUUGUGAAAAUAGUACUUUUUAUGUGAUAGCAAGAACUUGUAUCUCCACAAUAUCCCUAUUAUAUUCCCACCUUUUUCCUCAGAUCAUAAACAAACGUAGUCCCUGCUACUUGGCUAAAGGCCACAAGUUUUAAAGUCCUCGUUUUUUUGACGUAGGUGGCGUUAUUAGCGUCACCCGUACCAUCCCCACCAUACCUACCAAAAUCAUUCCUGUUUCUUGUGUUGACGCGUCAACAAGUUCUAAGUUUUCGUGCUUAAGUGAUUUAGAAAGUGAUAAUGAAGCGGAAAAAUUCGGAUUCUUCAAGUUUAUCAGAUUCUUCGGACGAGGAAGCCAUUGAGAGAGAGAUUUAUCUCUUAAAAGAUAGAUUAAAGAUGCUGAGGAAGGUUAAGAACAAGGGGACGCCAUCGUGUAGCGUCAAACAUGGCGGCCAAGUCGUGCCCGACACACCGGCGUGGUAUACGGCCCCUCCGCCACCACCGCCGCCGUUACUACCACAAGACCCGCAGCCAUCAACAUCUUUCGCCCCCGACCCUAUCGAUCAAGGAUGGUUCGAGGCCGACGACAAUGACGAUCUCUCGUUUCUUGAACAGACAACAACGAGUCAAGAUGGCGGCGGGCACGAAAGUGGUAGGUUAAAGAAUUGUUUUUGAGCACAGUAGCUCAAAAACGAAUUUUCUUGACACAGUAGUCUGAAAAUUCUUAUUGCCUGUCAGGCAAUAUUAUUCUAGCUAGAUCUAGAAUCCUUUUCAUUCACCGUAGUUUGAAGAGGCCGUUUUAAGCACCGUAGCUUUAAAACGUAAAAAAUAAUUUUGACAUUCGUCAAAAAUUGUUCCUGGUAUAGGAACAGGAGCACCGUAGCCCUAAAAAUAGUAUUUGCUGACAUUAUAGUCCGAAAAGUAUCCGUUGAAGCCAAGUUCCAGGUUAAAAAUCCGCCUUUCUAUAUUCUACGAAAUACUGUCAAACAACAUAAGUACGUAUGUCGUAGAUACAAUCCCAACUACGACUAUGUUAUUAUUCUGAAAAAAAAAGGGGGGGGUAGACAGCUGUCACCGCUGACGACUGACGGUAGAACUGUCAGUUGUCAAACUAGAUGUUUGAAAAACGAAAUGUUUGUUUAUUUUAAAAAAAUGCGGAUCUGGACUUGAGCUCAAAGCAAAUCAAAGAAUUUAGGUUAUUUCCUUUUUCUAGGUCAAACUGAACCAAUCCGCGGAAUUUACUUGGAUCCGUUGGUCUCAAAAAUUUUGGGACAGGAUUGCGAAUCUCCUCCUACAAAUACCGACGAAUUUUUCCCCACAAUUGGACACCACUGGGGCAAUAUUCUUUGUAAGGGACUGCCUGAUGAGCAAGUAACAACAUUGGCGGAAAAAUGCUCAAAAUGCUCAACCAAAAGACAGACAGCAGAGGAGCAAGCGCUGGUCAGAUCUAAAGAAAAAGCAGAGCCAGAAGGAGAACCGGGAAAAAACAAUGAUGCCACCCUGGACGUCUGGGGCAUUUUCUGUAGAGAGGAAAGCUUAAGGGGUUUUUGGAGCCCCAAGGAAAGACUUGAAAGCAUAAAUUUCUUGGAACUAAUGAGCGCCUUUAUCGGGUUACAAUAUUUUACCAAAAAUCUCUCUUUUUGUAAUAUUCUUUUACGAAUAGAUAACACCACUGCAAUUUCCUACAUAAAUAGAAUGGGAGGAAUUCAAUACAAAAAAUUAAAUAAACUUGCUAGAGAAAUUUGGCAGUGGUGUGAACAUCGCAACAUAAUUAUAUUUAAUAUUUGCCUCCUAUAUCAGUUCCCAAGAAAACAAAGAGGCAGAUUAUCAGUCAAGGGUAG